rnacentral:rRNA from 1 species
GACGAACGCUGGCGGCGUGCUUAACACAUGCAAGUCGAACGGAGAGGCCCUGCUUUGGUGGGGUGCUCGAGUGGCGGACGGGUGAGUAACACGUGAGUAACCUGCCCUUGACUUUGGGAUAACUUCAGGAAACUGGGGCUCAUACCGGAUAGGAGCCCCUGCUGCAUGGUGGGGGUUGGAAAGUUUCGGCGGUUGGGGAUGGACUCGCGGCUUAUCAGCUUGUUGGUGGGGUAGUGGCUUACCAAGGCUUUGACGGGUAGCCGGCCUGAGAGGGUGACCGGCCACAUUGGGACUGAGAUACGGCCCAGACUCCUACGGGAGGCAGCAGUGGGGAAUAUUGCACAAUGGGCGGAAGCCUGAUGCAGCAACGCCGCGUGCGGGAUGACGGCCUUCGGGUUGUAAACCGCUUUCGCCUGUGACGAAGCGUGAGUGACGGUAAUGGGUAAAGAAGCACCGGCUAACUACGUG